AUUGAACGCUGGCGGAAUGCUUUACACAUGCAAGUCGAGCGGCAGCGCGGGGGCAACCCUGGCGGCGAGCGGCGAACGGGUGAGUAACAUAUCGGAACGUACCCAGUCGUGGGGGAUAACUAUCCGAAAGGAUAGCUAAUACCGCAUACGACCUGAGGGUGAAAGGGGGGGGAUCGCAAGACCUCUCGCGAUUGGAGCGGCCGAUAUCGGAUUAGCUAGUUGGUGAGGUAAAGGCUCACCAAGGCGACGAUCCGUAGCUGGUCUGAGAGGACGACCAGCCACACUGGAACUGAGACACGGUCCAGACUCCUACGGGAGGCAGCAGUGGGGAAUUUUGGACAAAGGGGGGCAACCCUGAUCCAGCCAUUCCGCGUGAGUGAAGAAGGCCUUCGGGUUGGUUAAA
rnacentral:rRNA from 1 species